UACGUAGGGGGCAAGCGUUGUCCGGAAUCAUUGGGCGUAAAGCGCGUGUAGGCGGCUGAGUAAGUCUGCUCUGAAAGCCCGGGGCUCAACCCCGGGAGGCGGGUGGAUACUGCUCAGCUCGAGUCCGGAAGAGGAGUGUGGAAUUCCUGGUGUAGCGGUGAAAUGCGCAGAUAUCAGGAGGAACACCAAUGGCGAAGGCAGCACUCUGGGACGGUACUGACGCUGAGGCGCGAAGGCGCGGGGAGCGAACGGG
rnacentral:rRNA from 1 species